rfam:Desulfotomaculum gibsoniae DSM 7213, complete genome.
UGGGCGGUAUCCGUUACGAACCGCACCAUUUAUUAAAUUGGUUUGGGCAAUGAAUUUGUCAAUACUCGAACUAUUGUUUAUCUUAACUAAAGCGCUUAAUAAGCUGUUUCUAAAAUAAAGCUGACAUAUCUCCGCUUGGAGCCGAUGGGACCGAGACGGGUUG